CCUACGGGUGGCAGCAGUGGGGAAUAUUGCACAAUGGGCGCAACCCUGAUGCAGCGACGCCGCGUGAGUGAAGAAGUAUUUCGGUAUGUAAAGCUCUAUCAGCAGGGAAGAUAAUGCCGGUACCUGACUAAGAAGCACCGGCUAACUACGUGCCAGCAGCCGCGGUAAUACGAAGGGGGCAAGCGUUCUCCGGAUUUACUGGGUGUAAAGGGAGCGUAGGUGGUAGGGCAAGUCAGAGGUGAAAACCCGGGGCUCAACCCCAGGAGUGCAUUUGAAACUGACCAGCUGGAGUGCAGGAGAGGUGAGCGGAAUUCCUAGUGUAGCGGUGAAAUGCAUAGAUAUUAGGAAGAACACCAGUGGCGAAGGCGGCUUACUGGACUGUAACUGACGCUGAGGCUCGAAAGCGUGGGGAGCAAACAGGAUUAGAUACCCCAGUAGUC
rnacentral:rRNA from 1 species